rnacentral:tRNA from 1 species
GCGGGUGUAGUUCAGUGGUAGAACUCCAGCCUUCCAAGCUGGCUACGUCGGUCCGAUUCCGUCCACCCGCACCA